rnacentral:rRNA from 1 species
AUAACUACUGGAAACGGUAGCUAAUACCGCAUAACGUCGCAAGACCAAAGAGGGGGACCUUCGGGCCUCUUGCCAUCAGAUGUGCCCAGAUGGGAUUAGCUAGUAGGUGGGGUAACGGCUCACCUAGGCGACGAUCCCUAGCUGGUCUGAGAGGAUGACCAGCCACACUGGAACUGAGACACGGUCCAGACUCCUACGGGAGGCAGCAGUGGGGAAUAUUGCACAAUGGGCGCAAGCCUGAUGCAGCCAUGCCGCGUGUAUGAAGAAGGCCUUCGGGUUGUAAAGUACUUUCAGCGGGGAGGAAGGUGUUGUGGUUAAUAACCACAGCAAUUGACGUUACCCCGCAGAAGAAGCACCGGCUAACUCCGUGCCAGCAGCCGCGGUAAUACGAA